CCUACGGGUGGCUGCAGUGGGGAAUAUUGGACAAUGGGCGCAAGCCUGAUCCAGCCAUGCCGCGUGAGUGAUGAAGGCCCUAGGGUUGUAAAGCUCUUUUGUGCGGGAAGAUAAUGACUGUACCGCAAGAAUAAGCCCCGGCUAACUUCGUGCCAGCAGCCGCGGUAAUACGAAGGGGGCUAGCGUUGCUCGGAAUCACUGGGCGUAAAGCGCACGUAGGCGGACUCUUAAGUCGGUGGUGAAAUCCUGGAGCUCAACUCCAGAACUGCCUUCGA
rnacentral:rRNA from 1 species